rnacentral:rRNA from 1 species
CAAGGCGACGAUCCAUAGCCGGCCUGAGAGGGUGGACGGCCACAUUGGGACUGAAACACGGCCCAAACUCCUACGGGAGGCAGCAGUGGGGAAUAUUGCACAAUGGGGGAAACCCUGAUGCAGCGACGCCGCGUGAGCGAAGAAGUAUUUCGGUAUGUAAAGCUCUAUCAGCAGGGAAGAAAAUGACGGUACCUGACUAAAAAGCCCAGGCUAAUUAUGUGCCAGCACCGGUUAAUACGUAAGGGGCAAGCGUUAUCCGGA